rnacentral:rRNA from 1 species
AUUGAACGCUGGCGGCAGGCCUAACACAUGCAAGUCGAGCGGAUGAAGGGAGCUUGCUCCUGGAUUCAGCGGCGGACGGGUGAGUAAUGCCUAGGAAUCUGCCUGGUAGUGGGGGAUAACGUCCGGAAACGGGCGCUAAUACCGCAUACGUCCUGAGGGAGAAAGUGGGGGAUCUUCGGACCUCACGCUAUCAGAUGAGCCUAGGUCGGAUUAGCUAGUUGGUGGGGUAAAGGCCUACCAAGGCGACGAUCCGUAACUGGUCUGAGAGGAUGAUCAGUCACACUGGAACUUGGACACGGUCCAGACUCCUACGGGAGGCAGCAGUGGGGAAUAUUGGACAAUGGGCGAAAGCCUGGUCCAGCCAUGCCGCGUGUGUGAAGAAGGUCUUCGGAUUGUAAAGCACUUUAAGUUGGGAGGAAGGGCAGUAAGUUAAUACCUUGCUGUUUUGACGUUACCAACAGAAUAAGCACCGGCUAACUUCGUG